UCCAAUGUGGUGUAGUGGCUAACAUUGCUGUCUUUCAUCAUCGAAAAGAGAAGGAUCACAGCAGCCCGGGGUUCGAUUCCCCGCAUUGGAA